GUUGGGGAUGUGCAGAUGGUAGCAGGAGGCUUUGUGAAGGAGAGGCCAAGGGGUUCACCAGGGCCAAACUUGGCAGCCUUGCUCACAGGAGUCUACAGAUGCUGCUAACUCAGCCUCAAUCUCAGACAGACGAUCUCAUCCCCACUGUGAACAAGACGUGUGCUCCUCUAGACAAGCAUGGCUCUGGGGCUGGCAUCUGAUUCCGAUACUUACUGGACCUACAUCUUGCGAUUCUAUCAAGGAUCCAUGCUGCCAUCAGUGACUUUGCUCCUCUGAUUCCUUCCACCCUGAAAAUGCUUUUCCUCCAUUUCUACACACUGUAACUCUCAAUCAAGGAUCUCAAGGAACCCCUCCCACCGAAUAUGGAAUCUCUGCGAAUCUUCCCUGCAUCAUGAGCAUAACUGCUCCAAGUCCGGCAUCCCAGAUGUCUUCCUCUUGCUAGACGUGUCCUCCCCCUGCAGCUGUAUGUGACACACCCAGAGGGGAUUCCUCAGCAUCACCCAGAGGUUGAAGCCUCUGUCAGGAACCAUUCUGUGCUACCUUUCAUUCCCACCCCCAUGCCCCCUCUCCACUCUUCUCCCUGCCCCUGCUCCAGGAGGAAGGAUGUUGUGUCUAUGACAUUCACAAACCCCUGUUUUCCAACAUCUAGUUGGGUUCAACCAACAAAGAGCUAUGGCAGAAAAUUUGCAGGAACCAAAAGAGUGAGGCUCCCUUCCUGGGGAGUCUCCCUGGACUGGCUCUGCUCUUUGAGAAAAAUGUUUGUGAGUUUAAUGUGAAACCCUGAAUGGUUUUAGAAAGAUAAGUGUGCUAGUUGAAGGCUGGUCAGGAAAAGGAUGGUCAACUCUAAUUAGAAUAAGAAAGGGACAAUUCAAUAAACGGACUAUUAUAGUGAAAGCGAACUAAAUGUGGCCUGAGAAGGACUCCCUACUUCUGUAUUUGAGUCCCUGUGGACUAACCACAACCUAACUUAGUAGGUAGAUGAGAUUGAAAACCUAAUUUAGGAGUAUGUACCUGUAACAAUAGCUGAGUCUCAGCCAAUCCAAGCAGCCAUACUUCAACCACUCAUACACUGCUGAGUGUUCAAACUGUGUUCAAAUAAAGC
rnacentral:lncRNA from 1 species